GAGAUCAACCAAGUAAUGCACGAGCCUCGUCUCUACUUGUAUCCAUGCUGAGCUAUCUUCAGGAUGACUUCAAUAAGUUCAAGUCGUGUCUCCACUUCGGUACUAACCAAAGGUAGGAGACGGUUCCAUCUGAGAAAGGGAUCACGGUCUGAUUUAUAGGCAACAAUUGCAAUCAAAUGGUACAAAUCGACCGCCAAGCAGGUAUCACAAAGUUGUUGUCCGGUGGCAAUAAAGUCACUGCCGGUGGCUAUAUUCGAUGGCAAAAGCUUCCACUAACUGGUGCUAAGCCCACAGAAGAAGGCUGGACAGCCGACGACUUUAGAAGGGCGACGACAGCACAUGCUAGCUGCUGUUCCGCGGCAGAUCUCGCUGCUGUUUGCAGUGUUUCCUUGCUGUUACCGGAAGCACAGCUGACAGCAAGAUCCUGGAGGUCGGCAGGCGACCACGGGAGGAAGAGCAGCCGGUGGCAUGUCUCUGCGGCAGCAGCGGCAAUUGCGGCGACGCGUGCAUAAGACAACAGCUCCAACGUUUGUUCUGGCCGGCAAGGUAGCUGAUGGUCGGAGGAGAGGAGCUUUGGGUUGUGCUUGGGCGGCGCUAAAAGAGGCAGGGUGAGCUCGAUCUUCCUGGUUAGUGUCGGCAGCAGAGAUAAAGGUAAAGGGAAGAUGGAAUAGCGGAGGCUGGAGGGCAAUGCAACCAGAUGUGUGUGGGAAGGAACUUGGAAUAAAGAUGUUUGGGAACUAGCAAACCUUCAAACCUAGCAUUUCUUUAUGUCGUUACUUUUCUGCAGUUUAGGAUGUUAAGUGCCUUGAAUCAUGAACGUUAUGCUUGGAUUGCUUAUUGUUUGGAUGUUAGAUA